rnacentral:misc_RNA from 1 species
AAAGUCGUAUUUGGAGGAAGCAUUUCGAGAAGAGAAAUUGACGGUGGGGAAAGAAGGAUUCUUCGUGGGAUCGGAAUCAUCUUCGCCGCUGUUAUUGUUAGAGUGGGUAAUAGGGUUUGAAGAGGAAGCUGCGAAUUCCUUGUCCUUGCCCAUCGGCUUCACUUAUCUAUCCUCACUUUUUGGGUGCAAUAUUAUAACUGGAAAAGAGUAUACGGUUUCUUUUUCUGGUUGCAGAGUUAGUAGUGGAGUGUUUGGUACGGAAUAGUACACACACUACGCAUCGCGAAUUCCAUCUCCUUUACUAGCAAUCCAUUUUAGCCCCCGAAACUUUCCAUCUCUGCAUUCGAUUUAUUUAUUUAUUUUCCUUGGAGAAAUUUUUUUUUUUUU